CCUAGCCCUUCAGAGGGGGGAAACAGUUGGAAACGACUGCUAAUACCGCAUACGAUCUGACCUCGGCAUCGAGGGUGGAUGAAAGGUGGCCUCUAUUUAUAAGCUAUCACUGAAGGAGGGGAUUGCGUCUGAUUAGCUAGUUGGAGGGGUAACGGCCCACCAAGGCGAUGAUCAGUAGCCGGUCUGAGAGGAUGAACGGCCACAUUGGGACUGAGACACGGCCCAG
rnacentral:rRNA from 1 species